GGGUUGUGAGGUUAAGCGACUAAGCGUACACGGUGGAUGCCCUGGCAGUCAGAGGCGAUGAAGGACGUGCUAAUCUGCGAAAAGCGUCGGUAAGGUGAUAUGAACCGUUAUAGCCGGCGAUGUCCGAAUGGGGAAACCCAGUGCAAUUCGUUGCACUAUCGUUAACUGAAUACAUAGGUUAACGAGGCGAACCGGGGGAACUGAAACAUCUAAGUACCCCGAGGAAAAGAAAUCAACCGAGAUUCCCCCAGUAGCGGCGAGCGAACGGGGAGCAGCCCAGAGUCUGAAUCAGCUUGUGUGUUAGUGGAACGGUCUGGAAAGUCCGACGGUACAGGGUGAUAGUCCCGUACACCAAAAUGCACAGGCUGUGAACUCGAAGAGUAGGGCGGGACACGUGGUAUCCUGUCUGAAUAUGGGGGACCAUCCUCCAAGGCUAAAUACUCCUGACUGACCGAUAGUGAACCAGUACCGUGAGGGAAAGGCGAAAAGAACCCCGGCGAGGGGAGUGAAAAAGAACCUGAAACCGUGUACGUACAAGCAGUGGGAGCACCUUUAUGGUGUGACUGCGUACCUUUUGUAUAAUGGGUCAGCGACUUAUAUUCUGUAGCAAGGUUAACCGUAUAGGGGAGCCGCAGGGAAACCGAGUCUUAACUGGGCGUUAAGUUGCAGGGUAUAGACCCGAAACCCGGUGAUCUAGCCAUGGGCAGGUUGAAGGUUGGGUAACACUAACUGGAGGACCGAACCGACUAAUGUUGAAAAAUUAGCGGAUGACUUGUGGCUGGGGGUGAAAGGCCAAUCAAACCGGGAGAUAGCUGGUUCUCCCCGAAAGCUAUUUAGGUAGCGCCUCGUGAACUCAUCUUCGGGGGUAGAGCACUGUUUCGGCUAGGGGGUCAUCCCGACUUACCAACCCGAUGCAAACUACGAAUACCGAAGAAUGUUAUCACGGGAGACACACGGCGGGUGCUAACGUCCGUCGUGAAGAGGGAAACAACCCAGACCGCCAGCUAAGGUCCCAAAGUCAUGGUUAAGUGGGAAACGAUGUGGGAAGGCACAGACAGCCAGGAUGUUGGCUUAGAAGCAGCCAUCAUUUAAAGAAAGCGUAAUAGCUCACUGGUCGAGUCGGCCUGCGCGGAAGAUGUAACGGGGCUAAACCAUGCACCGAAGCUGCGGCAGCGACACGAUGUGUUGUUGGGUAGGGGAGCGUUCUGUAAGCCUGCGAAGGUGGCCUGUGAGGGUUGCUGGAGGUAUCAGAAGUGCGAAUGCUGACAUAAGUAACGAUAAAGCGGGUGAAAAGCCCGCUCGCCGGAAGACCAAGGGUUCCUGUCCAACGUUAAUCGGGGCAGGGUGAGUCGACCCCUAAGGCGAGGCCGAAAGGCGUAGUCGAUGGGAAACAGGUUAAUAUUCCUGUACUUGGUGUUACUGCGAAGGGGGGACGGAGAAGGCUAUGUUAGCCGGGCGACGGUUGUCCCGGUUUAAGCAUGUAGGCUGGUUAUCCAGGCAAAUCCGGAUAAUCAAGGCUGAGGUGUGAUGACGAGGUACUACGGUGCUGAAGUAACAAAUGCCCUGCUUCCAGGAAAAGCCUCUAAGCAUCAGGUAACAUCAAAUCGUACCCCAAACCGACACAGGUGGUCAGGUAGAGAAUACCAAGGCGCUUGAGAGAACUCGGGUGAAGGAACUAGGCAAAAUGGUGCCGUAACUUCGGGAGAAGGCACGCUGGUGUGUAGGUGAAGUCCCUGCGGAUGGAGCUGAGACCAGUCGAAGAUACCAGCUGGCUGCAACUGUUUAUUAAAAACACAGCACUGUGCAAACACGAAAGUGGACGUAUACGGUGUGACGCCUGCCCGGUGCCGGAAGGUUAAUUGAUGGGGUUAUCCGUAAGGAGAAGCUCUUGAUCGAAGCCCCGGUAAACGGCGGCCGUAACUAUAACGGUCCUAAGGUAGCGAAAUUCCUUGUCGGGUAAGUUCCGACCUGCACGAAUGGCGUAAUGAUGGCCAGGCUGUCUCCACCCGAGACUCAGUGAAAUUGAACUCGCUGUGAAGAUGCAGUGUACCCGCGGCAAGACGGAAAGACCCCGUGAACCUUUACUAUAGCUUGACACUGAACAUUGAGCCUUGAUGUGUAGGAUAGGUGGGAGGCUUUGAAGCGUGGACGCCAGUCUGCGUGGAGCCAACCUUGAAAUACCACCCUUUAAUGUUUGAUGUUCUAACGUUGGCCCCUAAUCGGGGUUGCGGACAGUGUCUGGUGGGUAGUUUGACUGGGGCGGUCUCCUCCCAAAGCGUAACGGAGGAGCACGAAGGUUAGCUAAUCCUGGUCGGACAUCAGGAGGUUAGUGCAAUGGCAUAAGCUAGCUUGACUGCGAGCGUGACGGCGCGAGCAGGUGCGAAAGCAGGUCAUAGUGAUCCGGUGGUUCUGAAUGGAAGGGCCAUCGCUCAACGGAUAAAAGGUACUCCGGGGAUAACAGGCUGAUACCGCCCAAGAGUUCAUAUCGACGGCGGUGUUUGGCACCUCGAUGUCGGCUCAUCACAUCCUGGGGCUGAAGUAGGUCCCAAGGGUAUGGCUGUUCGCCAUUUAAAGUGGUACGCGAGCUGGGUUUAGAACGUCGUGAGACAGUUCGGUCCCUAUCUGCCGUGGGCGCUGGAGAAUUGAGGGGGGCUGCUCCUAGUACGAGAGGACCGGAGUGGACGCAUCACUGGUGUUCGGGUUGUCAUGCCAAUGGCACUGCCCGGUAGCUAAAUGCGGAAGAGAUAAGUGCUGAAAGCAUCUAAGCACGAAACUUGCCCCGAGAUGAGUUCUCCCUGAGACUUUAAGUCUCCUGAAGGAACGUUGAAGACGACGACGUUGAUAGGCCGGGUGUGUAAGCGCAGCGAUGCGUUGAGCUAACCGGUACUAAUGAACCGUGAGGCUUAACCUUACAACGCCGAAG
rnacentral:rRNA from 1 species